CUGAUUUGUUUGAUAAACUGAAUUUGGCAGAUUACAAAAAUUUAGGCUAGAGUGGUUAUCCUUGUUUGUCUAUAUUUUAGCAACGGGAGCCAGAUUGAGUCGAGACCAACUUUGGAACAGUUUUUGUAGAGGUUGAAGGUUAUUAAUUCAAGUUCUUUUGAUACAAGAAAAAAGCAGGCCAUGUAAUUGUAGUGCCAGUGAGGGAGAACCAUCAAGCAGUGCUGCACAGGCAA